rnacentral:lncRNA from 1 species
UCCAUCCAAAACACUCAUAGCUGGAUUGCACUAACAUUAACCUACUCAUUUGCACUCCUCCAGGACCACGAAACUUUCCUUGUAGUAUGCCGUCGACCAUACUUCACAUCUUUUACCGUCAAACCCUUGAAUGGUUGAACCAACUUGCAUAUCUCUUAUAAAUGGCGAUUCUUACCCACUAAUCCAACAAGGUUUCUGAUCUUGCUGGAUUCUUUGUCCUCGACCAAUUGCAGUGGUCGUACCCUUUCCUUGACUCGACCAACGCUUUCAUCGGGCACUGUGCUCAUGAACCUAUAUCAUUUUUUUCUGCUAGCUCUACUUGCUUAACUUCUUUGAAACAUUGCUUCCAUAUACAUUCUACAAUUACCACUCUUUACUCAACUUCUGCAUCCGAGAUGGUCCUAAGAAUAAAUCGUACUUAUUCUCGAUCAUCUGAUCCAUUCUUAUCGCUGAUACUAAUGAAAUCUCAAAUUGCUAACAGCUUUCCUUCCUCUCGUUGUGCUACCUCAACAUUUGUCUGAUCCAUGUUGACACGACAUCCAACCAGUCCAUUCCAAGAAUUGCUUCAAAUCAUUUAUCUGGUAACACGACCGAGUCAUUAAAUCUGUCCGCACGCUCCAUUAUCUUUGAAAUAUCUUAUAAAUAAUAUGCGGCUUGAAAAUCUCCAUGUAUGCUGCCCGACCAAAUCUGAUCUCUUCCUCGAACCCACUCUUAUGCGACUGGCAACUUCCUGCCCCACAAGGAAUGCGAUUUCUAUAGUCGAACAAAGUUUGGCUUUCAUCACCACACCACUAAAAAGUGGAUUGACUAUGUCCUUGCGUUCGGCUUGUGUAUCCAUGGUACCAUGUUCCACCAAGACCUCUACCACACACGUACCACACAUGCGUCCUUGUUGCACUUUCAUCGAUCCAUUCAGCUUCCAGUAAGUGUGCUACACCUCCAUACGAACAUCCAGCACUUCAUAAUUCCAGGAGACAUUAAUUUCUUUCAUUCUCGGCAAAAUUUAUCUCGACAGCUUUAACAGUCCUAGCUAGCCCAGUCAAUAACCAUCAAUCCAUGCCGACUAUUGCUUCGUGCAUUCUAUCAUCGUAUCUACUCAUUCACUAACGUUGACAUAUCUUAAUCUAUCACACACGACUUUAAGCGUAUUACCUUUGUUGACUGAACCAACCUGAUACCUUCCUUGCCUACCCUUUGAAAAAUCCGAC